UCCCUCUUAGCUCAGUGGUAGAGCGCUUCACUCGUAUUUGCCAGGGUCAGAAUUGAUGAAGAGGUCAGUCGUUCAAGUCGGCUAGAGGGAA